UAAGUCUGAUGUGAAAGCCCACGGCUCGGGGCGUGGAGGGUCAUUGGAAACUGGAAAACUUGAGUGCAGAAGAGGAAAGUGGAAUUCCAUGUGUAGCGGUGAAAUGCGCAGAGAUAUGGAGGAACACCAGUGGCGAAGGCGACUUUCUGGUCUGUAACUGACGCUGAUGUGCGAAAGCGUGGGGAUCAAACCGGAUUAGAUACCCUGGUAGUCCACGCCGUAAACGAUGAGUGCUAAGUGUUAGGGGGUUUCCGCCCCUUAGUGCUGCAGCUAACGCAUUAAGCACUCCGCCUGGGGAGUACGACCGCAAGGUUGAAACUCAAAGGAAUUGACGGGGACCCGGCACAAGCGGUGGAGCAUGUGGUUUAAUUCGAAGCAACGCGAAGAACCUUACCAAAUCUUGACAUCCUCUGACCCCUCUAGAGAUAGAGUUUUCCCCUUCGGGGGGACAGAGUGACAGGUGGUGCAUGGUUGUCGUCAGCUCGUGUCGUGAGAUGUUGGGUUAAGUCCCGCAACGAGCGCAACCCUUAAGCUUAGUUGCCAUCAUUAAGUUUGGGCACUCUAAGUUGACUGCCGGUGACAAACCGGAGGAAGGUGGGGAUGACGUCAAAUCAUCAUGCCCCUUAUGAUUUGGGCUACACACGUGCUACAAUGGACAAUACAAAGGGUAGCGAAACCGCGAGGUCAAGCAAAUCCCAUAAAGUUGUUCUCAGUUCGGAUUGUAGUCUGCAACUCGACUAUAUGAAGCUGGAAUCGCUAGUAAUCGUAGAUCAGCAUGCUACGGUGAAUACGUUCCCGGGUCUUGUACACACCGCCCGUCACACCACGAGAGUUUGUAACACCCGAAGCCGGUGGAGUAA
rnacentral:rRNA from 1 species